GCCUUGAUAGCCUGGAGACGCUGAUCCUUUGGCACAUACUGGUAUAUCUGUAAGAAGGUCUCAGAGAGCUUGUUGGUCAUGAGAGGCUCGGGCAGGUCACGGAAGAAUUGCUUUAACAUGUCUGCUACAUCGUAGGCAGACUGGCCUUCAUAGUUGACACUGUCUGUUGAACUCUCAUUCAUUUGACGCAAAGCCUGAAUUCUUGAUUUUACUCCAGAUUUCCUAAA
rnacentral:lncRNA from 1 species